rnacentral:rRNA from 1 species
UACAGAGGUCUCAAGCGUUGUUCGGAUUCAUUGGGCGUAAAGGGUGCGUAGGUGGCGCUGUAAGUCGGGUGUGAAUUUCGGAGCUUAACUCCGAAACUGCAUUCGAUACUGCGGUGCUUGAGGACUGGAGAGGAGACUGGAAUUCAUGGUGUAGCAGUGAAAUGCGUAGAGAUCGGUAGGAACACCAGUGGCGAAGGCGGUCUCC